CUGCUGCUAAGGUUUCUACUACAGGUGCAAGAAAAAAAAGGUCCUCUUGUUUUCUGUCUGAUUGUGGCAGUCAAGACUGAAUGGGGGAAUACAGGA
rnacentral:snoRNA from 1 species